rnacentral:rRNA from 1 species
AGAGUUUGAUCAUGGCUCAGGAUGAACGCUGGCGGCGUGCUUAACACAUGCAAGUCGAACGGAGAGCCCGGGAAGGAGUUUUCGGACAACGGACUGGGUAUCUUAGUGGCGGACGGGUGAGUAACGCGUGAGUAACCUGCCUGGGAGUGGGGAAUAACACAGAGAAAUCUGUGCUAAUACCGCAUAAUGCAGUUGAGUCGCAUGGCUCUGACUGCCAAAGAUUUAUCGCUCUUAGAUGGACUCGCGUCUGAUUAGCUGGAUGGCGGGGUAGAGGCCCACCAUGGCGACGAUCAGUAGCCGGACUGAGAGGUUGGCCGGCCACAUUGGGACUGAGACACGGCCCAGACUCCUACGGGAGGCAGCAGUGGGGAAUAUUGGGCAAUGGGCGCAAGCCUGACCCAGCAACGCCGCGUGAAGGAAGAAGGCUUUCGGGUUGUAAACUUCUUUUAUCAGGGACGAAGCAAGUGACGGUACCUGAUGAAUAAGCCACGGCUAACUACGUGCCAGCAGCCGCGGUAAUACGUAGGUGGCGAGCGUUAUCCGGAUUUACUGGGUGUAAAGGGCGUGUAGGCGGGAAUGCAAGUCAAAUGUGAAAACUAUGGGCUCAACCCAUAGCCUGCAUUUG